CUCUCUCUUUCUCUCUCUCUCUCUGUGUCCCUUCCUCUCUCGUGCUCUCUUCCUCCAUGAGAGAUAAAUGGGGAAGUAUAUGAGGAAGGCCAAAACGACAGGCGAGGUAGCUGUUAUGGACCUCUCCCUUGGUGUCCGUACCCCCCAAACCCCUACCCCUAAACCCCCAAGCCAUAUUGCCUCAGCCUCCUCCUGCUCCUGCUCAGCCUCCUCCGCAGCCUGCCUUUGGGUACCUCCAGCUCCGAAGCCGUCGCCUUGUUAAGCCGCCGAUUCUUGUACAUGAUUCCAAGCGGCAAAAACAUGGUCACAAUAAAGAGGCGCAAAACCCUAACGCUAAUUCGAUGGCGGGUUCGAGAGUGCGGGUGGGUUCUACGGAUUCCGGAACUAAUGCUGCGGGUCAAAAGAAGGAUGUGAAUGGCGAAAAUAAAGAAGAGGAUAUACAAGAGAAGCACAACGACGGCGAGCAUAACAACAAUAACGAUAACGAUAUUAAUGAGAGCAAGGA
rnacentral:misc_RNA from 1 species